UAUUGGUCAAUGGGCGUAAGCCUGAACCAGCCAAGUCGCGUGAGGGACGAAGGUUCUAUGGAUCGUAAACCUCUUUUAUAAGGGAAUAAAGUGUGGGACGUGUCCUAUUUUGUAUGUACCUUAUGAAUAAGGAUCGGCUAACUCCGUGACAGCAGCCGCGGUAAUACGGAGGAUCCGAGCGUUCUCCGGAUUUAUUGGGUUUAAAGGGUGCGUAGGCGGCCUUUUAAGUCAGCGGGGAAAGUCUGUGGCUCAACCAUAGAAUUGCCGUUGAAACUGGGGGGCUUGAGUAUGUUUGAGGCAGGCGGAAUGCGUGGUGUAGCGGUGAAAUGCUUAGAUAUCACGCAGAACCCCGAUUGCGAAGGCAGCCUGCCAAGCCAUGACUGACGCUGAUGCACGAAAGCGUGGGGAUCAAACAGG
rnacentral:rRNA from 1 species